UACGGAGGGGGCGAGCGUUAUUCGGAAUUAUUGGGCGUAAAGGGCGCGUAGGCGGCCCGGUAAGUCAAAGGUGAAAUCCCUCGGCUCAACUGAGGAACUGCCUUUGAAACUGUCGGGCUUGAGGCCGGGAGGGGGUAGCGGAAUUCCCAGUGUAGCGGUGAAAUGCGUAGAUAUCAGGAGGAACACCAAUAGCGAAGGCAGCUCGCUGGGACGGUAUUGACGCUAAGGCGCGAGAGCGUGGGGAGCAAACAGG
rnacentral:rRNA from 1 species